rfam:Eutrema salsugineum unplaced genomic scaffold scaffold_3, whole genome shotgun sequence.
AAGUCAUGAUGUGGACACUGAUUGGUGUAGCUUCAAAACCGCUCCCAAGCUUCCCCAAAGUUAUCAUUAUUAUGUUGUUUGAAGCUUGAUAUCUGGUUCCUUAGUUU